rnacentral:rRNA from 1 species
ACCUGAGAGCGCAGCCGUUGGGACCCGAAAGAUGGUGAACUAUGCCUGGCGAGGACGAAGCCAGAGGAAACUCUGGUGGAGGUCCGAAGCAGUUCUGACGUGCAAAUCGAUUGUCAGAGCUGGGUAUAGGGGCGAAAGACUAAUCGAACCAUCUAGUAGCUGGUUCCCUCCGAAGUUUCCCUCAGGAUAGCUGGUGUUCGGAUUUUUCGAGUUUCAUCCGGUAAAGCGAAUGAUUAGAGGCCUUGGUGGUGCAAUGCCGUCAACCUAUUCUCAAACUUUAAAUGGGUGAGAGGUAGAGCUUGCUUGAGACGUGAAGCUCUAUGUUGUUAGAAUCAGAAUGCCUAGUGGGCCACUUUUGGUAAGCAGAAC